rnacentral:rRNA from 1 species
CCUACGGGAGGCAGCAGUAGGGAAUCUUCCACAAUGGGCGAAAGCCUGAUGGAGCAACGCCGCGUGGGUGAAGAAGGUCUUCGGAUCGUAAAACCCUGUUGUUAGAGAAGAAAGUGCGUGAGAGUAACUGUUCACGUUUCGACGGUAUCUAGCCAGAAAGCCACGGCUAACUACGUGCCAGCAGCCGCGGUAAUACGUAGGUGGCAAGCGUUAUCCGGAUUUAUUGGGCGUAAAGGGAACGCAGGCGUGCUUUUAAGUCUGAUGUGAAAGCCUUGGGCUUAACCGGAGUAGUGCAUUGGAAACUGGGAGACUGGAGUGCAGAAGAGGAGAGUGGAACUCGAUGUGUAGCGGUGAAAUGCGUAGAUAUAUGGAAGAACACCAGUGGCGAAAGCGGCUCUCUGGUCUGUAACUGACGCUGAGGUUCGAAAGCGUGGGUAGCAAACAGGAUUAGAUACCCGAGUAGUC